rnacentral:rRNA from 1 species
UACGAAGGGGGCUAGCGUUGCUCGGAAUUACUGGGCGUAAAGCGCACGUAGGCUGAUAGUUAAGUGAGGGGUGAAAUCCCGAGGCUCAACCUCGGAACUGCCCUUCAUACUGGCUAUCUCGAGUCCGGAAGAGGUUAGUGGAAUUCCCAGUGUAGAGGUGAAAUUCGUAGAUAUUGGGAAGAACACCAGUGGCGAAGGCGGCUAACUGGACGGUUUCUGACGCUAAGACGCGAAAGCGUGGGGAGCAAACAGG